CCUACGGGUGGCUGCAGUGAGGAAUAUUGGUCAAUGGACGAGAGUCUGAACCAGCCAAGUCGCGUGAAGGAUGACUGCCCUAUGGGUUGUAAACUUCUUUUGUCAAGGAAUAAAACGAGGCACGUGUGCCUGUUUGCAUGUACUUGAUGAAUAAGGAUCGGCUAACUCCGUGCCAGCAGCCGCGGUAAUACGGAGGAUGCGAGCGUUAUCCGGAUUUAUUGGGUUUAAAGGGAGCGUAGACGGGUUGUUUAGUCAGUUGUGAAAGUUUGCGGCUCAACCCUAAAAGUGCAAUUGAUACUGGCAGUCUUGAGUACAGUUGAGGUAGGCGGAAUGCGUGGUGUAGCGGUGAAAUGCUUAGAUAUCGCGAAGAACCCCGAUUGCGAAGGCAGCUUACCAGCCUGGGACUGACACUGAUGCUCGAAAGUGUGGGUAUCAAACAGGAUUAGAUACCCCUGUAGUC
rnacentral:rRNA from 1 species